GCAUAUCAAUAAGCGGAGGAAAAAGAAACUAACAAGGAUUCCCCUAGUAACUGCGAGUGAAGCGGGAAAAGCUCAAAUUUAAAAUCUGGUAGUCUUUGGCUGCCCGAGUUGUAAUCUAGAGAAGUGUUACCCGUGCUGGACCGUGUACAAGUCUCCUGGAAUGGAGCGUCAUAGAGGGUGAGAAUCCCGUCUUUGACACGGACUCCCAGUGCUUUUGUGGUGCGCUCUCAACGAGUCGAGUUGUUUGGGAAUGCAGCUCAAAAUGGGUGGUGAAUUCCAUCUAAAGCUAAAUAUUGGCGAGAGACCGAUAGCGAACAAGUACCGUGAGGGAAAGAUGAAAAGAACUUUGGAAAGAGAGUUAAACAGUACGUGAAAUUGUUGAAAGGGAAACGCUUGAAGUCAGUCGCGUUGUCCGGAAAUCAACCUUGGUUCUCCUGGGUGUACUUUCCGGUUAACGGGCCAGCAUCAGUUUCGAUCGGUGGAAAAAGUCCAAGGGAAUGUGGCAUCUUCGGAUGUGUUAUAGCCCUUGGUCGUAUGCACCGGUUGGGACUGAGGAAUUCAGCACGCCGCAAGGCCGGGGUUCGCCCACGUACGUGCUUAGGAUGCUGGCAUAAUGGCUUUAAUCGACCCGUCUUGAAACACGGACCAAGGAGUCUAACAUGCUUGCGAGUGUUUGGGUGGAAAACCCGAGCGCGAAAUUAACGUGAAAGUCAAGAUCUCUGUCGCGGAGAGCAUUGACGCCCAGACCAGAAGUUUACGGACGGUUCUGCGGUAAAGCACGUAUGUUGGGACCCGAAAGAUGGUGAACUAUGCCUGAAUAGGGUGAAGCCAGAGGAAACUCUGGUGGAGGCUCGUAGCGAUUCUGACGUGCAAAUCGAUCGUCGAAUUUGGGGUAUAGGGGGCGAAAGACUAAUCGAAACCAUCUAGUAGCUGGUUCCCUGCCCGAAGUUUC
rnacentral:rRNA from 1 species